rnacentral:tRNA from 1 species
AGAGCAUUAAAACUAAGUAUUAAGUAUCCACAAUUAUCGGUUGUUAAAAUAGCUGUGAUUGUUAGUAAGCGCUGGUUAUGACAGAUUAUCUAUUGAUUUUAUAUUGCAUUGUAUAUAGUGUGAUCAGUAAUAGGUAUGGGUCUGUAGCUCAGCUGGUUAGAGCACCGUCUUGAUAAGGCGGGGGUCGUUGGUUCAAGUCCAACUAGACCCACCAUAAAUGUUUGGGCAAAACCUUUCGAUACUUUGGGGGUGUAGCUCAGUUGGGAGAGCGCCUGCUUUGCAAGCAGGAGGUCAUCGGUUCGAUCCCGUUCACCUCCACCACACACAGAGUUUAAAUCUUAUACAUAGGCAUUUAAGUAUAAGAUUUAAGCUUUAUUAAAUAAGCUAUUUGUUCUUUAAAAAUCUAGAAGAAGCACAACGAAAGAUGUUCUAUUUUAAUUAAUAGACAUAGGGUUGUGAUUGCAAAAAAGUUCCAAGUUUAAUUGGAAUAUUCAUAAACAUUUAAAUAAAGUCAAUUAUCUA